rnacentral:rRNA from 1 species
UGGGGAAUUUUGGACAAUGGGCGAAAGCCUGAUCCAGCAAUGCCGCGUGAGUGAAGAAGGCCUUCGGGUUGUAAAGCUCUUUUGUCAGGGAAGAAACGGUGAGAGCUAAUAUCUCUUGCUAAUGACGGUACCUGAAGAAUAAGCACCGGCUAACUACGUGCCAGCAGCCGCGGUAAUACGUAGGGUGCAAGCGUUAAUCGGAAUUACUGGGCGUAAAGCGUGCGCAGGCGGUUUUGUAAGUCUGAUGUGAAAUCCCCCGGGCUCAACCUGGAAUUGCAUUGGAGACUGCAAGGCUAGAAUCUGGCAGAGGGGGGUAGAAUUCCACGUGUAGCAGUGAAAUGCGUAGAUAUGUGGAGGAACACCGAUGGCGAAGGCAGCCCCCUGGGUCAAGAUUGACGCUCAUGCACGAAAGCGUGGGGGAGCAAAACAGGAUUAGAUACCCUGGUAGUCCACGCCCUAAACGAUGUCUACUAGUUGUCGGGUCUUAAUUGACUUGGUAACCCAGCUAACGCGUGAAGUAGACCGCCUGGGGAGUACGGUCGCAAGAUUAAAAACUUAAAUG